AGAUUAAGUUAUUAAGGGCGCACGGUGGAUGCCUUGGCACUAGAAGCCGAUGAAGGACGUUACUAACGACGAUAUGCUUUGGGGAGCUGUAAGUAAGCUUUGAUCCAGAGAUUUCCGAAUGGGGAAACCCAGCAUGAGUUAUGUCAUGUUAUCGAUAUGUGAAUACAUAGCAUAUCAGAAGGCACACCCGGAGAACUGAAACAUCUUAGUACCCGGAGGAAGAGAAAGAAAAUUCGAUUCCCUUAGUAGCGGCGAGCGAAACGGGAAGAGCCCAAACCAACAAGCUUGCUUGUUGGGGUUGUAGGACACUCUAUACGGAGUUACAAAGGACGACAUUAGACGAAUCAUCUGGAAAGAUGAAUCAAAGAAGGUAAUAAUCCUGUAGUCGAAAAUGUUGUCUCUCUUGAGUGGAUCCUGAGUACGACGGAGCACGUGAAAUUCCGUUGGAAUCUGGGAGGACCAUCUCCUAAGGCUAAAUACUCUCUAGUGACCGAUAGUGAACCAGUACCGUGAGGGAAAGGUGAAAAGCACCCCGGAAGGGGAGUGAAAUAGAACCUGAAACCGUGUGCUUACAAGUAGUCAGAGCCCGUUAAUGGGUGAUGGCGUGCCUUUUGUAGAAUGAACCGGCGAGUUACGAUUUGAUGCAAGGUUAAGCAGUAAAUGUGGAGCCGUAGCGAAAGCGAGUCUGAAUAGGGCGUUUAGUAUUUGGUCGUAGACCCGAAACCAGGUGAUCUACCCUUGGUCAGGUUGAAGUUCAGGCAACACUGAACGGAGGACCGAACCGACUUACGUUGACAAGUG
rnacentral:rRNA from 1 species